rnacentral:snRNA from 1 species
AUACUUACCUGGCAGGGGAGAUACCAUGAUCACGAAGGUGGUUUUCCCAGGGCGAGGCUUAUCCAUUGCACUCCGGAUGUGCUGACCCCUGCAAUUUCCCCAAAUGUGGGAAACUCGACUGCAUAAUUUGUGGUAGUGGGGGACUGCGUUCACGCUUAA